UAUGUGAUCGUCUCUCGCAUAUCAAUAAGCGGAGGAAAAGAAACUAACAAGGAUUCCCCUAGUAACGGCGAGUGAAGCGGGAAGAGCUCAAAUUUGAAAUCUUAAAGGGUUUCCCUUUACGAAUUGUAGUUUAAAGAAGUGUUUUUCUGUUGAGGUUUUGGUAAAAGUUCUUUGGAAUAGGACAUCAUAGAAGGUGAGAAUCCCGUAUUUGACCUUUACUUUCAACUUUGUGAUACACUUUCAAAGAGUCGGAUUGUUUGGGAAUGCAGUCCCAAAAUGGGUGGUAAAUUUCAUCUAAAGCUAAAUAUUGGCGAGAGACCGAUAGCGAACAAGUACCGUGAGGGAAAGAUGAAAAGAACUUUGAAAAGAGAGUUAAACAGUACGUGAAAUUGUCAAAAGGGAAGCGUUUGACACCAGUGUUGUUUUUUCUGAAAAUCAAUUAAAGAACUGUUUAUGCUAAGUUGUUUAGACUUUAUCAGCUAACUGUUUAGUUUUUGAGCUUUUCUUUAAUGCACUUUUCAGUUAACAAGUCAACAUCAAUUUCUUUUGCUGUAAAAAAGCUUGAGGAAGGUGGCUUGAGAUUCGUCUUAAGUGUUUAUAGCCUCUUGCCUAUGCAGUCGGAGAGAUUGAGGUCUGCAGCGUAGAUCCUUCGGGGCUAAAUGCAUUUGUGCUAAGUUAUAGCAUUUUAUAGACAACUUGUUGACUAUGAUUUGUCUUGUAGCUUACUCGCUUAUGUUAUUUUACCUACGCUUAGGAUGUUGAUAUGCAUGACUGAUAU
rnacentral:rRNA from 1 species